CAGGAUUAAUAUAUAGAUAAGCACAAAGACAGAGAGUGUGGGACAGAGGGAAAAAAUACCCAGGACCUGAGAGUGUUCAAAGCAGUUAGCAAAAGUUGGAUAAGCAUGACUGCUUGCCUACGAUGUGGUUUAGAGAUAAGAUAUGGUAUAACUGAAACUAUCUUUUGAGUUAUAUUUAACAAUCUCUCUCAGUAGGUUUAGCAGCAAGUGAUAGUCCAGAAACUGCACAGACUUCAUGUCCUGUGAACAAGGCUGCAUUGCAUUCCCCCACAUUGAACAAGUCUCACUGAGCUUGGACAAGCAAGUCCUACUUUUGCCAGGCUUUUUGUAGCAG